rnacentral:tRNA from 1 species
UAGAGCAUCUGACUUUUAAUCAGAGGGUCGCAGGUUCGAAUCCUGCAUGACACACCA